rnacentral:sRNA from 20 species
GUUGAGUGGGAAUAGAAAGCUAACAUAAUAAGAAUAGGAAUAUCAAUAAAUCAACGUUUUUCAACUUAUGAAAUGCUUGAUUUUCAUUAAAAAUGAUAUGGUUUCCUACCACAA